AUUGAACGCUGGCGGCAUGCCUUACACAUGCAAGUCGAGCGGCAGCGCGGGGGCAACCCUGGCGGCGAGCGGCGAACGGGUGAGUAAUACAUCGGAACGUGUCCAGUAGUGGGGGAUAACCAGUCGAAAGACUGGCUAAUACCGCAUACGAUCUACGGAUGAAAGCGGGGGACCGCAAGGCCUCGCGCUAUUGGAGCGGCCGAUGUCCGAUUAGCUAGUUGGCGGGGUAACAGCCCACCAAGGCGACGAUCGGUAGCUGGUCUGAGAGGAUGAUCAGCCACACUGGAACUGAGACACGGUCCAGACUCCUACGGGAGGCAGCAGUGGGGAAUUUUGGACAAUGGGCGCAAGCCUGAUCCAGCCAUGCCGCGUGAGUGAAGAAGGCCUUCGGGUUGUAAAGCUCUUUCGGCGGGGACGAAACGGUUCGUGCCAACACCACGGACUAAUGACGGUACUCGCAGAAGAAGCACCGGCUAACUACGUGCCAGCAGCCGCGGUAAUACGUAGGGUGCAGGCGUUAAUCGGAAUUACUGGGCGUAAAGCGUGCGCAGGCGGCUCCUUAAGUCAGAUGUGAAAGCCCCGGGCUUAACCUGGGAACUGCGUUUGAAACUGGGGAGCUGGAGUGUAGAAGAGGGGGGGUG
rnacentral:rRNA from 1 species